rnacentral:rRNA from 1 species
AGAGUGAACGCUGGCGGUAGGCCUAACACAUGCAAGUCGAACGGCAGCACAGUGGUAGCAAUACCAUGGGUGGCGAGUGGCGGACGGGUGAGGAAUACAUCGGAAUCUACCUUUUCGUGGGGGAUAACGUAGGGAAACUUACGCUAAUACCGCAUACGCCCUUCGGGGGAAAGCCGGGGAUCGCAAGACCUGGCGCGGAUAGAUGAGCCGAUGUCGGAUUAGCUAGUUGGUGAGGUAAUGGCUCACCAAGGCGACGAUCCGUAGCUGGUCUGAGAGGAUGAUCAGCCACACUGGAACUGAGACACGGUCCAGACUCCUACGGGAGCAGCAGUGGGGAAUAUUGGACAAU